rnacentral:rRNA from 1 species
GGUGAACGCUAGCGGUGCGCCUAACACAUGCAAGUCGAGCGAGAAGAUUUGAUAGCUUGCUAUUAAAUCGGAAAGCGGCGAACGGGUGAGUAACACGUUGGUAUCUGCCCCCAAGUCAGGGAUAGCCAUUGGAAACGAUGAUUAAUACCGGAUAGUCUCUCUGGAGUAAAAAUUUAUUGCUUGGGGAGGAGCCUGCGUUCUAUCAGCUAGCUGGUGAGGUAAAGGCUCACCAAGGCGACGAUCUUUAGCUGGUCUGAGAGGAUGAUCAGCCACACUGGGACUGAGACACGGCCCAG